CCCGUUCCCAUCCCGAACACGGAAGUUAAGCCCCUCUGGGCCGAUGGUACUGCACGGGCAGCUGUGUGGGAGAGUAGGUCGCCGCCGGGA
rnacentral:rRNA from 1 species